UAUGGAAUGGUCGUAGAGUCAACACCUAACAAUCUUUCCACUGUCAAAAACACAGAUAAUGGCGAAAAUGCAGCCAAGAGAAUAAAAUUAGAUAUUCACCGAACAGGUGCAAAAUGUCUACCACAUGAUGACAAAGUGGAUGAAAGACAAUCUGGAAGUGCAUAUCACGUACUAGGUGCAGUGAGAACCAAACCAGGACGCGGAGAUCCAACUCUAUCAGCCUCCUGCAGUGAUAAACUAGCCAAGUGGAUCCACAUGGGAGUUCAAGGCAGUUUCUUGAGUUUACUUUUGAAGGAACCCAUUUAUUUGUCGAGUAUUACAAUCGGCCACGAAAAUUUCUCUAAAGAAUCAUUUGAAAGAGCAUUAUACAAACGAUUUGAUGAUAAUCAAGGCAAAUGUGAAACUGAGAAAAAGUAUACACUGCAUAUUCCAGAUUUAUUUCUAUCUACACUGCGGAACUUUGACGCACAAAAAUGUGAAACUAAACAACCGGCUCCCGCCAGUAUAAUAUACAUCAAGAAUAGUAAACCGGAAGUGGCAGUGGAUGGUUUUAAACAAGGUGUCACAAAGAAAAAUCGGUUUACGUCGAGUGGUAGACUGCAAAUUUGCAAGUUGGAACUGUUGAAAUGUUUUUUUAAAGUUGCAACCAAAUUGAAUUUAAAUAUUGAUUCUAAACUAUCCUAUAGUGCCUUAAAACAUUCCACGGAAUAUUCGAAAUCAUGGAGGGAAUUACAAAAAGGUAAAUUCAAAGUGUGGCCACAAAAACUGUCGACUUUUGAAAAUUUUGUAACUGUCGAAUAAAGUUUAUUUUAUUAUUACAA